UACGUAGGGGGCAGGCGUUAUCCGGAUUUACUGGGUGUAAAGGGAGCGCAGACGGUUAUGAAAGUCUGAAGUGAAACCCCACGGCUCAACCGUGGGCUUGCUUUGGAAACUGUAUAACUAGAGUACUGGAGAGGUAAGCGGAAUUCCUAGUGUAGCGGUGAAAUGCGUAGAUAUUAGGAGGAACAUCGGUGGCGAAGGCGGCUUACUGGACAGCAACUGACGUUGAGGCGCGAAAGCCGGGGGAGCAAAC
rnacentral:rRNA from 1 species